UAAUGGUAAUGUUCUUUGGGGGAAAAAAUAAAUAAAUUUGAUUGUUAUCUGCCUACUGGCACAGGGGGAAAACCAACAGUAAAAACCAGAAGAAAAUACUAGGCAAUCAUUUAACUUUUCUCUGGGAGGAAGGAGAUGUUAACUUCAAAUGUAUCAGAUUCAUUAGAAGCAUACCAGAUAGAAAGCAAAUGUGAGAAAGAUCAGUGCUGAGUAUCAACAGAAGAUUUUCCUCUUAAAUUCCAGUCACCAGAGAUGGUCAAAAUGGCAAAACAUCAGUCCUUCAAGUCACCACCCCAGUUUUGCUUAAAUCUGUCGGAAGUGGGCACAGGAAAUCAGAGUUGGCGGUUUUCCCGCCUGUUAUAAAAAGCCGGAAGCCCAUCAUGAAUGAAAGCACACAACACUACAUUUGCCAUCUGCACAGCUUCCAAACCUCUUGUAUUUUAUAGGAGUAGGCUGCCAAAACCGCAGCAUGCCAAAACCAGAAUAAAACCCCCAAUCUGAAAGAGAGAAUAUGGCAAAUAAUAAAACCAUCCAGACAGCAGAGAAGUAAAAUUGCAGAAAAUCAGGCUAACAUAGCAAAACUGUCAGGCAGAGUGGAGAGAGCUUAGGAGAUGGUGUACAAAGGAAGAUUUAGAGGAAAACCGAAGGCAGAGAAUAAUGCAAACCAUUGUUCAGUUGAAAGGUUUUCCGAAGCGAGUGUGCUUGCUGAUGGAAGGGCAGCAGUCUACCAGUGUAGCUCUGAUUCUCUUUGCUACCCAAGACAAAACUUCAAGGUUUGCAGAAGAUGCAAUACACAGGGGAUGGGUAAAGAAUUUGACUUUGCAUCUGAGGCUUGACAUCAAUGCAUCGGUGAAGAUAGAAUUUUCUUUUGAAUUCAGUAUUAGUUCUUAAGAGAAUGAAAUCAACAAAUCAACAGAUCUUUUAUAAAGGAAAAGGGGCAAGAAUAAUGUCGUGAAGCUCCCUUCUUCUCAAUUAAGGUAAAGAACAGACACCAACUCAGAGUUGUCUUUUUUCAUGUGUAUACAGAUAGAAAAUGUGAUUCAUGAAUAUUGUUAAGCAGAGUAACUUGAAGGAUUUUGGAGAGCUAUGUUUUGAAAGUGAUGGUCAGGUUCAGAGAUAAGACCCUGAAGGUCACAUAAAGUAACAAAUGGAGUAGAAUUUAGUUGCACUGUGUGGUAAGGGUGGAGACUUGUAAAUUUCCAGGACAGAGGUAGGAGACUAAAUUCUAUGCAUGUGAAAAACAUGUAGAAGUAAAGGAAAUCCAUGGUCAAGUAAGGACCUCCAUCAGAGAGAAAGCAGAAUUGUUUAAUACACAUUUGAAUUAAAACACUCCUAUGAUUCUACAAGUGAAAAGACUAUUAAAAUCACAAGAUGCUUGAUGGGUUAGAUUUUUUUUUUGUCUAAAUAAAGGGGUGUGUUUCUUCUGCAGGUUAGUGUAGAGCCUGGCAGAAGUCACCAAGGACUCAUGGGUGAAUGGAUGA
rnacentral:lncRNA from 1 species